UUGAACUGUUCCUCCAUUUGCUGACAGACAAAAAGAGAUAAAUACGUAUCAGGUAUAAAUUAGUGAUAAAUAAGUUCAAUUUAUUCACAAAACUGGAAAAACUUUUCAGUAUAAAUCAGUGAGGUAAACCCAAAAACAUUCUCCCUUCUACCUCCCCCCGGCCCUCAACCGACCACACACUCAUACAUUUGCAUUAGUCCACAUCUAUUGCAUUGAAUAAACUAUAGUGCUACUUGAUGGAGAAUGCUUAAUCAUGGAUGUCUAAAUGCAUGCAUAACAAUGUGCCAAAAGUAAUAGAAUGAUACCACUCGUUCAGGAA
rnacentral:misc_RNA from 1 species